AUGUUAUGCUAUAAUAAAAUAGCAUUAUUGAUCUUUCUAGACUUUGUGGCCAUCCUAUAUAAGGAAAGAGGUGGGCAGAACCAAUGAAAGACUCCAGACCUGGCAAGGAACUAAGAAGACUGACUUUGUGGAAUCCUUGAAAUUGGGAGAGGCAGAAGGACACUCAAAUCUAUCUGUCAGGCGAAUUUGACAACAAGAUGAACAUCGGCAGUUUGAUUCAUACCGGAAGAACAGGAGGAACUCUACAGAGACUGGACUUCAGCCUGGUGUUUGAGGAAAACACAGGAAGGUGUGCAGAGGAAGACUUGCAGACAGCCACAUACCGACA
rnacentral:lncRNA from 1 species